CUACGGGUGGCACCAGUGGGGAAUAUUGCACAAUGGGCGCAAGCCUGAUGCAGCAACGCCGCGUGAGGGAUGAAGGCCUUCGGAUUGUAAACCUCUUUUAGCAGGGAAGAAGCGAAAGUGACGGUACCUGCAGAAAAAGCACCGGCUAACUACGUGCCAGCAGCCGCGGUAAUACGUAGGGUGCAAGCGUUGUCCGGAAUUAUUGGGCGUAAAGAGCUCGUAGGCGGUUUGUCACGUCUGCUGUGAAAAUCCAAGGCUCAACCUUGGACUUGCAGUGGGUACGGGCAGGCUAGAGUGCGGUAGGGGAGAUGGGAAUUCCUGGUGUAGCGGUGGAAUGCGCAGAUAUCAGGAGGAACACCAAUGGCGAAGGCACAUCUCUGGGCCGUAACUGACGCUGAGGAGCGAAAGCGUGGGGAGCGAACAGGAUUAGAUACCCGCGUAGUC
rnacentral:rRNA from 1 species